GGAUGGUUGGCCGCUCAGUGGCCACAGCCUUUUCAGCCUCAGUCUCUACUCCUGCUUCGGGAACAGGAUGGCUCCAUUCGCAUGGGAUUAGGUUUUCCAGCUGGUCAAAAUGAUGCUAACAUUGGUUAAACAAAAUUCCUUGGCAUGAGGAGACAUUAGACAGAACUUCAAUUGAUGAACAAGAAAGUAGCCACCUGGUAACUUUAACCAGCUUUUGUUCAUUAAAUGGAGGCCCCAAUAAUCUCCACACCCUUAUGGGACACACCUCAUCUAAAGUUCAUAUGAAUCCAGACAUCUUAUGCUCCAGCCAGAAGAUUCAGGUCAGACCAACACGAAGUCUCCAAUCAAAUGAUAAUUUUUAAACAAAAAUUCAUACUUAAAGCUGUACACCUACCCAAGAUAAAAACCAGAUGUGACUGUGGAGGAGACCGAUAUCUUCCAUUGUGGGCCAUAUCCCAAGACAAAAGGCUAAACUUGGCCCUCAAACCACACAGGGAGACCUUCUCAAUAUGGCUUUUCAUAUUCUCUACAACAGAGAUAAAAAUCAAAAUGAAAAAUAACAAUCUGAUCUUUUAUCAGUGACACUUGGAGCUCUGAGACAGGAGAUCUCAUCACCACUGGAUUCAUCGCUGACUGAUCUACUGGGACUUGAUGCUGAAGAAUGAUGGGGCUUGGUGUCCACAGUCCUCCAUUAAGGUGUCCUCAGAGCCCCAAGUCCCACUAGGAGGUCUCAGUCUAACGGGAGGAUGUUCACCAAUGAUGAAGUUGUCCUAGCUAAAACACCUGGCACCAGCUUCUGCAUGGGCAUCAACCAUCAUCCUAUCAACCUUCCUAAACCCCAAUACAGUGCCCCCUCUCAGCAGGAAAUAGUAAGAGAGAGACUUUGCCCUUUUCCUAACAAUACAAAGAUGGGAAUGAAAGGUUUUUGCCUUAGUAGAAAUUAUGGUGGUGGUCUAACAUGGCAGAAGGCCGAAGUGGGAAUGCCUACCACUUCCUGUUUCUUCCUCAGCCUUAAUUGCAACUCCCCUUCCUGUUUGCAUGCAAAGAAAAUUCCAGUCAGCUUCUCGCAUGUCACCAGUGCCCACCCUAAGUGCAACUCCCGGUCAGAGGUUAUAUAUUAUCCCAUACCCCACGUCCGACCAGAAGAGAUCCAGCCGUCUUUGGUCAUUGGACUCUUCUCCACAUCCUUAGAAUAAAGGCUACUGUUUCUUUAUAUUUUUCUCUUUCUUGGUGCCAAAAACCCUAUCACCUAUGAAGUAAUAUGUCUCAAUCUAUAUAAAUCAAAGAUAAAUUGUUUAAAUAAUACAUGUUUUAUUUUUAGAUUUUUAAAGUGCUUUCUACCAUCUGCUCACUCUAA